rnacentral:lncRNA from 1 species
CAGGGCUCUUUCCUUUAAGCAAUUUCUUCAAACAGAAAUGCAAGAAAAGGCCAAGGAGUUUGGCAAGGAAUUAGGAUGAGAUAAAAACAUAUGUGGGAUUCUGGAUUUAUGUAGAAUUUGAAUAAAUUGCUUUGGGAAUUUUUAGAGGUAUAAAAAUAAAACAAGUUUGAAUUAAAUUCAAACUUGAGCCAUUUUUGAACCCAACCAAAACAACUCCAAAAUGGAUGAUAUUUGACAGAGAGGUAUAAGGCAUGAAGUAAGAUCACCAGGAAAUAAAUGAACAUUAAUGGAGGCACAAAUAAUGCCACUUGGCAUGAAAGUCAAGAUUUGACAGAAAGGAAGAAGUGAUAAGGUUUGCACGUGGAGAAAGGUCUUGAUGAAAAGAUGAAGAUACAAAUGACCAUAGGAGGAGGGGAAGGGUGAUGCAAGGGGUGAUCAUGCAUGAAACACACAAUGCACAUGAUGAGCAUGAUGAAAUGCAACAUGAUGCAAGGAUGAAUGCAACGGACAAAACAAAUCACACGACAAAUCUCGGAAUAGCUGGACGUCUUCUGGAGCGUCGGUCUCGGGGCGUCACAACACUCCACCACUACAAGAGGAUCUCGUCCCGAGAUCUAGGAUGGCACCGGAGGGAAAACGGAAGAGGAAGAGAAGAGGUAAAACUAAGUUGCUUCUUUGACGAACGAGUGAAACCACGAACCUUGAGGGGUCGAACAAAAUGAAAGAAAGAAAACAAUGAAGAUGAACAAAGUUGAAAGCACUCUGUUAGAAGAGGAACAUGGGAUACGACGAGAACCAAGAGGUUUAGUGAUAAGAUAGAUAUUGAAACCACUCCGGUUAAAACUAGAUAGAGAAGGAGUAAGAAUGAUAUAAUUUGGGCAGCACUCCGACUGUAAAUGGAAGGAAUUGAACAUGAACUUGACAAGAUGAGAGGAUACUUGAUGAAAUCAACAACACACUGCAUCCGGAAUUAUUGAAAGAAUGGCAUAAAGGGUAAGAAGGAUUUCAGACAGCACUCUGGUUGAAAAGAGAGGCAAAACUUGAUAAAAUGAAAGAACUUGAAUGAGAACACAACACUCCGGUUGAAAGGAAAAGCAAGGAAAGAGCAUGAUCUUCACAAUUCGAGAUGAUGAGUGAAAAGAGCAACAUCACAAUUCCUCCGGAAGAAAGAAUAGAAGAUAGAUCAUUGGAAUAACAGAAUGGAGAAGAAAAUGCCAACUUCUACCACCAUUGAAUUUGGAAAACAUCUUUGCAAAGAAGAAUCGAACGGAGUUGUUGGAAAAUCAACAACAAAAAGAAUAAGCUUGUAGUGGGCUUAUGGCAAACAUCUCAAAAUGAUGAGGUGACAACCGGCCACUAAUGGAAACAAUUGAUUGGUUGAGAUCAAUGAAGAUAAGAGAAACUUCUUCCACCAAGUGAAUAGAGAGCAAGCUUGGGUCAUGCAUAAUCACCACAAAUAGCAACAACCCUUAAGGAAAGGAUUUAGGUGAAAUAUGACACAAAAUAACUCCAAUGAAGAGACUGAUGGAUUUAAAAUACCUCAUUCUUGACAACAAUAUGAAUCAUGAAACAUGAAGGAAAUUGUCAAGAAUGACAUAAGACCACGUCGAAAGAUAAGGUAGAAAGAAUUGCACUUCGAAAUGCAAGAAGAAGAAUACUUGAGCUCCUCAAAACAAAACAUGUGUUGAGCACCAUGCUUAAUUUUGAGUAUAGCUUGGCGGAUCAUAACUGCGAGAGAAAUCUUGAAGAACAAUUGAAGAAUGAAAAGAAUCCUUGAUGAACCACCAUUUAGAGCCUCCACGAAGAACUCCGGUAAUAGAAGGAUGAUAAAAAGAAAGAGAAGUUGAAAACACAAUGUGAAACCUUGCAGUGAUAAGAUGAAGCUUUGAAAUGAUAUAACCGAGAAAAAACUUGGAACCCGGAAAUAAAGAUGCACAACUGAAAUCAAGAAUUUUUGAUGGACCUCCGGAAUAAGGAAUUGAAUUUACUCGAUGAAACAAGAAUAAGAAUUACAUUAUGCUCAUCCUUCACCAAUUAAAUUGAUGACAAGCAAUGGAUUUGGCAUACUACUUAUUCUCGUAGAAAGGAUUAAGAGAGAUAUGGCGUAAACUUGGGAAGGUCUUCAACGAACCACCGGUAGGAUUUGGAAACAACGAAUGAAUAGAUGCGGUAGCAAAGGAAGAGGGAUCUCGAACGAACCACCAUAAGAAUUGAAAAUGAAAGUAACAAAGGCACAAUUCAUCGGGAAUAAUUGGAAAAUGAAUGAAGAUACUUGAGGGGGUUUAAAUACAUGAGAACGAAGAGAACAUGAACUGAUUAGAGGAUAUUUUAACGAUUCAUUGAUAAGAUUUGGAGAACGAUAGCUACACGUUGAGAAUGAAGAAUUAUGACAUGAUGGCCUUCGGAGGAAAGAAAUGGAAACAACUCAUGAAAUGCUCCAGAUGGUAAGAAAAUAAUUUUCACAAUCAAAACAAUUAUGAGGAUAGCAUGAAGCUAGAACCAUGAAUCUUCAAGAGAACGGACCAAGAUUUAAGAGAUAAACUCUCCUUCGGUCUUCAAAAGACGAUGAGGAACGCCACCAAAAUUUAUUGAGAUACUCCGGUAGAAUGGAAAAAACAAAGAAGUUGAGACCACAAAGAAAAAUUAUUUGAAAUCGAUCUUGGAAAGGCAUGUGACUGAUGAAAAUUCAUUCUUACGUCACACUCUGAAAAGAUUGAGAAUAACUCCGGAAGAAUUAGAAGAGUCAGGUAAGAUCCUGGGAAAAGACCUGUGGGUUAGGGCCCACUCAAAAGAAAACACCGUUGAACAAUUGAUUGAAAGAGGGGAUUGCACCGGUUGAAUUAAAUGACUUGAAUGAGAUAAGAACCUCGAAAUAUCUUGAAGGGAUUGAGAAUGGAAACACAAGUCUUCGGAGAUAUCUUGAGCACUUCAGGAAAAAAUGAAUAGCGAUAAGUGAGCGAUUGAGAGGUGCGCCGGCAUGGGAAAGCAUUUGAAACGAGGAAAGGAAUAUGAUGAAUAUUGAAAGCUUGAAUUGUUUCCACCGGAGAAGAAACAACAAUGAAGGAUGAUGAACUUGAAGCUCGUGAGCAUCUUCACGAGGGAUCACCGGAUCAGAACAUUGAUUGAAAAGAAUGAAGAGACUUCACAUGAAUAAAUGGAUACUUGAUUAAGAAAUCUGUGUCCUUGAAGAAAAAGGGUGGGAGGGCGGGAAAACAAAGGCAACUUGGGACGAACGAAACAAACACCGUUGAAAAAACUUAGAAUUGAUCUUGCGGAUGGGGAAAAUGAUGGGAUCAUCUCGAAGAGAAGCGCACCGGUUGGAAAAGAAUUAACAUGACAACCUCAAUGAUCAAAAAGGAUUAGUAUUCACAUAGCAAUAUGAGAACACCGUUUAGGAAAGGUAUGGAUUCAAUAUUUGACAUUGAAGCAACUCGAGUACCACAACUCAAAACAAAACAAAGGAUUUGGCUUGCAGAAUAAGCCGGAACAAACAUAUGAUAGAGAUUUACCCAAUCCCAUAUCAUGCAUCUGUCGGAAAGAUAUUCUAGGAGCUACUUGAAUUCCCACCUAUAAACUCCCGAAACUUUCUGGUUAUGCAAUCUGGUGUUGGGGAUACAGGGGAAGCAAUAUAUCUCACCCAAACUAACAAUACCUACAUCCAAGCUGUAUCCAUCCGUCAACACAUAACCAAGAAACCUUCGGAAAUCGUGUACCUCAACCUUCGAAAAGCAUCCGUUAUACGAGUCAUGGCAAUACUCCCGUACUCACCUCAGUACUGGGUUAGCGGGGUUAUCUCACCAACAACUGCAUAAAAGAGAUUUUCGAUGUCGGCGUACUAAACUCAGGUAUUCCAGAACUGCAACGAUAAAAUUAUGACGACAACACCUCAGAGCUCAACUCCCCGGGACACCUCCACUAAAAAAACCCUGCUGACGGGAGGCACCAAGACAAUGUUGUCAUCAUAAACCAUCGGAACGAUUCUAAGAUACCCGCGUGAUCCUAAAAUUUUUUUUAGUGAAAUUUGAGAAGAGAAGAGUCAAAACUCUACGUCAGGAGACCUCACCAGAGCGACGAAGGGACUGAGGAGUAAAAAGAAUUCCUAACUCUCCGAUAUAUAUAAUCCUAAAUGACUCAAAACAUUUUUCUAGACACAACUCGGCCGCUAAAAACGAUCAAGCAGUGGGGCUCCUAAGGUCGGGGAUGGCUCUGAUUACCAACUUAUAACGCCCUCGAUGCGGCUAUAUCUCCCACGUGUCGAAGCACGACUUAGAGGCAUAACCGCAUUGAAAGCAAUGUCGCAAGUGAGGUAAUCUUCACACAACCCAAGUAAUACAUAAGGGGAAAGAGAUACAUAGUUGGCUUACAAUCGUCACUUCACACAAUUACAUGAAUAAAGCAUUACAUCAUCCAGAUACAAUCAAGGUCCGACUACGGAACCCAAAAUAAAAGAAGAACCCCAAAUGCGACAAAGGUCCCCGAUCGACCCCAACUGGGCUCCACUACUGAUCAACUAGAACGAAACAACACAAAGGGCAAGAUCUUCAUCGAGCUCCUCCUUGAGCUUGGUUGCGUCACCUGCUCGGUAACAUAGGCACCUGCAAACUGGUUUGGAAGUAUCUGGUGAGCCACGAGGACUCAGCAAUCUCGCACCCGCGAGAUCAAGACUAUUUAAGCUUAUGGGUAAGGUAAAGGCAUGAGGUGGAGCUGCAGCAAGCGACUAGCAUAUAUGGUGGCUAACAUACGCAAAUGAGAGCGAGAAGAGAAGGCAAAGCACGGUCGAUAAAGGUAUGAUCAAGAAGUGAUCCUAUAGCAACCUAUGUCAAGCAUAACUCCAACACCGUGUUCACUUCCCGGACUCCGCCGGAAAGAGACCAUCACGGUUACACACACGGUUGAUGUAUUUAAUUCGGAUCUGGUGUCAAGUUAUCUACAAUCGGACAUUAACAAAUUCCCAUCUGCCACAUAACCGCGGGCACGGCUCUCGAAAGUUUAUACCCUGCAGGAGUGUCCCAACUUAGCCCAUGACAAGCUCUCGCGAUCAUCGAAGGAAUAGACCUUCACCCGAACACUCCGAUCAGACUCGGUAUCCCGGUACAUCAAGACAUUUCGACAAUGGUAAAACAAGACCAGCAAGACCUCCCGGCGUGCCGACAUCCUGAUAGUAGCCGCGCGUAUCUCGUCUCAGGCCACGACCGGAUGAACACUACGUACGGCAACCGACGAUACCCCAAGUUGCCUAGGGGCGGCACCGCAAGUGGCUCUGGUUUGGACCAACACUUAGACAAGCAUUGGCCCGGGGGGGCUAAAAUAAAGAUGACCCUUGGGUUAAUUACUCCCAAGGGAAAAGUAGGUGGUGGUGAGGCAAAUGGUAAAAGUCAAUGUUGGGCCUUGCUGGACAAGUUUUAUUCAAAGCGAACUGUCAGGGGGGUCCCAUAAAUCACCCAACCGCGUAAGGAACGCAAAAUCCGGGAACAUAACACCGAUAUGACGGAAACUAGGGCGGCAAGAGUGGAACGAAACACCAGGCAUAAGGCCGAGCCUUCCACCCUUUACCAAGUAUAUAGAUGCAUUAAUAAUAUAAGAGAUAUUGUGAUAUCCCAACCAAAAUCCUGUCCACCAUGGAGAAAUCUUCAACUUCACCUGCAACUAGCAACGCUAUAAGAGGGGCUGAGCAAAGUGGUAACAUAGCCAAACAACGGUUUGCUAGGAAUGGUGUCAAAGGUUAGAGGUUCAUGGCAAUAUGGGAUGGCUGACAAGCAAAUGAUAGGCAUCGUAGCAUUGGCAUAGCAAAAGAGCGAGCAAACUAGCAUAGCAAAGAUAGUAGUGAUUUCGAGGGUAUGGUCAUCUUGCCUGAAAUCCCGCAAGGAAGAAGAACGAGUCCAUGAAGAAGACAAACGUACAUCAAACGAAUCCUCACAACUCCGGAACGAAACCGAAGCUAACGAGAGAAGCAAACCGGAAAGAAACAAACAACAUGGUAAACACACAAGCAUAAACAUGUCAUGAUGCGCAAACAAAUAUGAUGCAUGUCCGGUUUAAUGAAGCAUGACAUGGCAAUAUGCACAAACAACACUACAAAUUAAGUGGAGCUCAAUAUGCAACGAGUUGCAUAUUGAUGACACACCACAUCAAUUAUUUAGUUCCCUCUAGUUAUAAGCUACUCAACAACAUUAAAUAUUGGUUAACAUGGCAAGUGAUGAAGCAUAACAAAAACUAUACCAUCUAAACAAUUUUAAAUGGGGCCGGAUAUAAAAACAACAAAUCCGGUAAAUCCCCAUAUGCAUUUAGCAAUUUAAUGCAACAACAAGUUUAAUCAUUUUAAAUGUUGUUAUCAUGAUGCGGAUGACAUAAUCAAGGUUUAUGCAAUUUUUAUGAAAAUGUUGACAUGAGCAUGAAACGAGGCAUUAGUCGCCAUGGCGGAAGGAAAAAGGUGCCACGGCGGUGAAACGGAAAUGGUGCCACGGCAACAUAUCCGAAAAUGAUGCCACGACAACAUAUCCGAAAAUGAUGCCACGGCAACAUAUCCGAAAAUGAUGCCACGGCAACAUAUCCGAAAAUGAUGCCACGGCAACAUAUAGGUUAUCCGACAACUCAAGGAGAUAUCGGUGCAAAAGGAAGGUGUGCGGAUGCGUGCACGGAUGGUGGGGUGAUCUCGGAUUCCGGGUGUCCCACAUAAUGGUGGCAUGGAAACGAGUGACAAUUCGAACACGGUGCAAACGGUGCAUCUCAUUCAACACAUGCAUUCGGGCCACGGCGGUCGUCUCGGGGUUAUACCUUUGAAGAGUGCGUUUUCGGAGCGGAACGAGUUCGAUGCAGUGUAGGUGGAAGUAGUGGUACACGGCGUCGGUAGAGGAAGUAGUCGUUCUCGGGUCGUCGUGGGAAGUAGUCGAACACGGCGUAGUGGAAGUCGUUGUUCACGUGGCGACGGUAGUUGUACACGGUCCAGGAGACGUCGAUCGUUCAGGGUCCGACUUGCGAGUCUUGCUGACAUGAGUGGUACUUGGCGAUGUUUCGAUGAGGCUCAAACGAAGCACCCGCAACUAGAGGCAACUAGUGCCCCGGUGCCCUGGACGACGACUGCAGGCGCGGAGAAGGGGAGCAGCAGAGGGACUAGGCGUGGGGAUGAACGGAUCCGGCUGAAGGCAUGGCCGACGGCGCGGCUUGGAGCAGAUCGGGCGCGGGCGCUUGGGGCGCGGCGCAGCUGGAUGGCGCGGGCGACAGAGGAGGAGAACACAGGUGGAGCCACUGGAGUUGGACAAGGAGGAAGCGGGAUGGCGCGGCAGCGGCCUGGUUCUGCGGGGGCUGGCGGCGGAUGCAGGCCACGAGGAGGAGGCGAAAGGGACGAUGAGGAGAAGCAGGAGGAGAUGGGAUCGAGAGAGAGGUCGGGCAGCGGUUCCCUGGCGGCGCUGGGUGGAAGGGAACGAGAGGGAGAGGGGGUGGAUCGGGACGAAGGGGUGGCGGCGCUGCACGGGGGGAGAUGGGGAUCGAUGGGAGAUGUGGGUCGGGCUAGCUAGGGUUUAGGUAGGCUGCGGGUCCAGAUGGGCCUGGGAGGUCCAAGAGGCCCAGGCUGUUGGGCUGCAGGGCUCUUUCCUUUAAGCAAUUUCUUCAAACAGAAAUGCAAGAAAAGGCCAAGGAGUUUGGCAAGGAAUUAGGAUGAGAUAAAAACAUAUGUGGGAUUCUGGAUUUAUGUAGAAUUUGAAUAAAUUGCUUUGGGAAUUUUUAGAGGUAUAAAAAUAAAACAAGUUUGAAUUAAAUUCAAACUUGAGCCAUUUUUGAACCCAACCAAAACAACUCCAAAAUGGAUGAUAUUUGACAGAGAGGUAUAAGGCAUGAAGUAAGAUCACCAGAAAAUAAAUGAACAUUAAUGGAGGCACAAAUAAUGCCACUUGGCAUGAAAGUCAAGAUUUGACAGAAAGGAAGAAGUGAUAAGGUUUGCACGUGGAGAAAGGUCUUGAUGAAAAGAUGAAGAUACAAAUGACCAUAGGAGGAGGGGAAGGGUGAUGCAAGGGGUGAUCAUGCAUGAAACACACAAUGCACAUGAUGAGCAUGAUGAAAUGCAACAUGAUGCAAGGAUGAAUGCAACGGACAAAACAAAUCACACGACAAAUCUCGGAAUAGCUGGACGUCUUCUGGAGCGUCGGUCUCGGGGCGUC